GACGAACGCUGGCGGCGUGCUUAACACAUGCAAGUCGUACGGUAAGGCCCUUUCGGGGGUACACGAGUGGCGAACGGGUGAGUAACACGUGAGUAACCUGCCCACAACUUUGGGAUAACGCUAGGAAACUGGUGCUAAUACUGGAUAUGUGCUCCUGCUGCAUGGUGGGGGUUGGAAAGCUCCUGCGGUUGUGGAUGGACUCGCGGCCUAUCAGCUUGUUGGUGGGGUAGUGGCCUACCAAGGCGGCGACGGGUAGCCGGCCUGAGAGGGUGACCGGCCACAUUGGGACUGAGAUACGGCCCAGACUCCUACGGGAGGCAGCAGUGGGGAAUAUUGCACAAUGGGCGCAAGCCUGAUGCAGAAACGCCGCGUGCGGGAUGACGGCCUUCGGGUUGUAAACCGCUUUCAGCAGGGACGAAGCUUUUUGUGACGGUACCUGCAGAAGAAGCACCGGCUAACUACGUG
rnacentral:rRNA from 1 species